rnacentral:rRNA from 1 species
UACGAGAGGCCCAAGCGUUGUUCGGAAUUACUGGGCUUAAAGAGUUCGUAGGCGGCCUGACAAGUCGGGUGUGAAAGCCCUCGGCUCAACCGAGGAAUUGCGCUCGAAACUGUCGUGCUCGAGGAACCUAGAGGUGAGCAGAACAGAUGGUGGAGCGGUGAAAUGCGUUGAUAUCAUCUGGAAUACCGGAGGCGAAGGCGGCUCACUGGGGGUUUUCUGACGCUGAGGAACGAAAGCCAGGGUAGCGAACGGG